GACAGUUUAGUGUAACGGUUUGCACGCUAAUCUCAUUAGUUAGUAGAAGGGUUCGAUUCCCAUUCUGUCU
rnacentral:tRNA from 1 species